ensembl:lncRNA
GGGUUGGGGGGGGUUUGCUGGACGUGGUCCAUCAUGUGAUUUCAAUUCCAGAGUGGCCGGAGGUGACGACCACAGCAAAAGCAAGUGAGUGUGUGUUUGUGUCUCAUCUGGCCUCAUUAAAAAAAAGUCAGGUUGUUUUCCAUCUGAGGGUCAUCAGUUGUGGUUGUUAUAAAAGCCUGCGCAGGGGGAAGAGUGGAGGCCCUACGAGGCCACACGCUUGACGGUGUGUCUGUGUAAAUGUUUGUUGUACUGUACAACUAAGCAUGCACAGAGCAGGCAAGUUGUCCCUGUGUGUGUGUGUGUGUGUAUGUGUGUGCGUGUAAGGUUGAUGUUUAGUUGUGUGUUUUCCCUCCCGUGUGUAUGGAGAGCUCAUAAGGACGAUGCAGUGUGCAGGAAGCUCUGAUCCCAUCAGGCGUGUCAGCAGGGGCAUUUUUUCAUAAGGUGGUAAUCUCACCACACAAAGGGGUGUCCAAUAUUGGAGAGCCCCAUACCCCUGAGCUAAUCAAGACCUGACCAACCUCUCCCUCGGCUCGCCAACCCUCGAAACAUUACCUCAUCUGGAGGCUUAGCCGAGCCACAUGCUGCUUAGGCCUGCUGGUCUACAUGAUAACUCACUUAGAAGAAAGAAACAAAAAAAACGGAAAUAUAAGGAGGGAUAGAAAAGAAAUGGAACCAGAACAGCACACAACUACCUAUGGUGCCGGGUGCCAGGGAAAGGUAUUUUAAAAAGGGAGAGGAAAGAAAUAAUCAUUUUACUUUGUCCUCCAGAAACUUUGGGAAGUGAUUCACUGCUAUUCAGUUUCUCUCCCCGCCGUCCUGUUAUUGCUGUUUUCCCCUCAGCUCUUGGAGCCUUCGACCUCAAAGAGAGGUUCUUAGGUUCUGGCUUUGUGUCACUUGGAAACAGUGCUUUUGUUACCAAGGUAACAGGUCUGGGACAGUGAAACUUGGAAGUAGAGAGCACCUUUGUCCGUGACUGGAUGGAGAGGGACCAGAGAGCACGGCUUCAAGUCUUAAAGGCAUCCUGUGAGAAGAAACCAGUGAUCAAGAGAAGUUUCUUGAUACAAUAUCUACCUGUAACUUGUUAGCCAGUGAAAAGAAGAACACGGCUUUGCUUCUCCUUACCUGCCAGUUUCUGCAGAGCUCUACUGCAACCUUGGAUCACGGGUUGCGGUGUUGGCAGUGUGCUAGCAGUAGGUCCUCCACAGUGUGUAUACUGUGUGCGACCCGUCAUCACUGCUUACACAUACAUUCUCCCCGUUUUUUCAUCCGGCCCAUCAUCUCGUGAUCUCUUCGAAUUGAUUUAGCAACUUAACGGUUGGAGACGACUGCACUGUAACCCCAUCUGACCUGUGAAAACAGAUGAAGGAACUUUCACAAUGCAACGUAGAAAGAUAAAUACUCGCUGAUUGAUGCAAGUUUGGACAGAGCCAUUACAUCUGGUUUCUCUUUUUUUGUCAACUGUGUUUACUCUUGAAUGAGCGACUUUCUAAAUCAUUUUAUUUCCCCAUCUUUAAUCUUUUUCAGAUGAUCUCAGGUGAGCGCAGAAAACAGCCUGACUAAUGGAAACAUGAUCUCAAGAGAUUCCUUCAGGUAAGGAUGAGUGAUUUUGGUUUGAUCUUCGCUCAAGUGCGACAUGUGAUCACACACACACACACACACACACACAGCGCUGCCUUAUUAUAAACUGUAAGUUGCUAUUAACAACCGAGUAUGGAACAGCCACCGAUCAAAAAGAUAGCAGUGGUUCACAAAUAUGUGGGACGUGCUGAUGGUGGUGGCACUGGCGUUUUCUUUCUUUUUGGGGGGAUUGUGUAACUCAAGUCGUGACAGCGCGGUAAAGAAUGCAGUGGCAUAGAGAUAUCACUUCAAACACCGCGUCUCUCAGGAGCCUCAGAUCCCUUCGGUGGACAUGAAUGAAAAUAUGCUUUGAUGGCCCCACCGCAGAGUCGGUGCCCUUCAAAGAAACCUGUUGAUGGGCCGGCGCGGGGCAGCCAGCAGGCUGAAUGCAUGGUACUGUAUACGUGUGCCUCUCGGGGGCAGCCGUGGGUGUUCCCGAUGGAGGUCAAACUUGCUCGACCCUAACAUGAGUAGGUUUUUUUUUUACAGAUUUUUGGCUUGCAUUGUGUCUUUUUUUUAUUCAGGGUCCCUCUGUAAUUGAGGGGUAACUGUGUGCGGAUGUGUGAGUGAGUGGCAGGGGGCCAGCAGACAGGUACAGCGAAUGUGCUGAUGAGAGAGGGCGAUAUGGGGCUGGUCUCAGACACAGGCCCGCGGCACAGACCGGCGCACACGGGCAGGCUGAGACUCAUAGGCAGGUUAGGACCCGGUUGUGUGUGCUGAUGCUGCUCCGCUGGCUCUGCUCCAAGGUGAGGCAUAGGAGAGAAACGUGGGAAGGGAAAUAAAACUGAAUACAGGGUAAAAGGGAACGAUAGAGAAAAUCCGGUGAAAGGAUGAUUGUUGAGUUGUGGAGCUGAGAGAGAGAGAGAGAGAGAGAGAGAGAGAGCACGCAACCCGAAAGAGGAGGAUGUAUAAUAACAGAGAGUGACAACAAGCAAUAAAGAGUGGUUGUGGCGGAGGUUGGAGAGGGAGAGAUGAUGAUGAUGAUGAUGUGUGAGGGCCGGGCGAUGAAGAGGGAACUGAAAGGAGGAGCGAGAUGAAGAAAAAGCCAUGCGAGUUAAGCCCCAUCCUGUACACCGGUGGGACGUGACUCCUCGCAGGAUCAUACUUAAUCCUGGUUUGGACUGUGGACAUAGCAUCGCCUGCAGCAGAUGUUUGCUCCUGGCAUGGCUGCAAACUGCAUGAGCUCCAUCACCGACAAUCCAGUUCUCGGGAUGCAUCGCCAGCAGCUUGGACACGGAGAAGCUGUGACACAAACUCAGCAGGACAGUGGAGUGUAUUCUGCUGCUCGGAUAUUAUGGAACAGACCGGUCAACCUCGUCUGGAGAGGCACUCGAUAGGAAAAUCAGCUCUAUGAGGCUACGAUUACCGCGGUUACCACAAUGGAUCUACACAUUGUUUGACUUUUUCUAAAUUGAACCUGGAUUAAUAUUUCCCUGUAUAUACAUCUGCUUUUGAUAUUCAGUGUUUAUUCCCGCUGUUGCUCAUUCCCUGCACUUAUAUACUGUGUUAUUCUGGAUACAGUAUCAACAAAUGCUGGAACAGUAAACGGAAAAUAAUCAGCUGUUAUUUCCUCUUUAGGUCUAUUAUUUUUACAGGAGGAAGGCAGCACUUACACCAAUCUCGUAAGGAGCAAACUAAAUGUUUUCCUGUUGAAUUAAUUAACACACAUAGGAAUUGUCACAGGGAUUACUCAAUUAAUAAACAUUCAACAUCUUCCAAUUAAGAAAAGAUAAUCCUUUAUUAGUCCAGCAGCAGGGAAAUUACAACAAUUGCCUUCACAAUGAAGCCAUUGAACCAAAGGUGCUUAUGAAUACAACUAUUGACAACUCUUUGGGAGUCUUGUUCAUUCUGGUUGAGGAAUCUUUUCCAACUCUUUGAUCUGAUAAAGACGUAUUGCUUCAUCGGACUUGUCUGUGUAACCCUCGAACAGAAAUAAAAAAGAAAAGGUGUAAUCAA